CCUACGGGGGGCAGCAGUGGGGAAUAUUGCACAAUGGGGGAAACCCUGAUGCAGCGACGCCGCGUGAGUGAAGAAGUAAUUCGUUAUGUAAAGCUCUAUCAGCAGGGAAGAAAAUGACGGUACCUGAGUCAGAAGCCCCGGCUAACUACGUGCCAGCAGCCGCGGUAAUACGUAGGGGGCAAGCGUUAUCCGGAUUUACUGGGGGUAAAGGGAGCGUAGACGGCAGUGCAAGUCUGGAGUGAAAGGCGGGGGCUCAACCCCCGGACUGCUCUGGAAACUGUACGGCUGGAGUGCAGGAGAGGUAAGUGGAAUUCCUAGUGUAGCGGUGAAAUGCGUAGAUAUUAGGAGGAACACCAGUGGCGAAGGCGGCUUACUGGACUGUAACUGACGUUGAGGCUCGAAAGCGUGGGGAGCAAACAGGAUUAGAUACCCCAGUAGUC
rnacentral:rRNA from 1 species